rnacentral:lncRNA from 1 species
GUUAAAGCUGGUGCCAUACCGUACUGGCGUAUGAACAUUAUCAGAACCCAGAAGCAUCUUCUCAUCAACAGGUAAGUCAAAGAACCUUGUAGCUGCAUCAAGCGCAUCUUUCACCACCGAUGAUGAUAUUCCAUGGUUUAUAAUCUGUAGAUACAUAAGUUUGGAUCUGAGUUCUGUACUGAAAUAAUGCAAAUGAUACAAUAGAGUAGUGUGUUUUAAAUGAAACCGAGAUACUGACAUUUCAUAAAGUUAGAAGAUAAGCAUCUUCACAUGUCUAUUUUUCUUAUUGUCAAUAAAGACAGUAACUAAGGACUUUGUUCUUUUUCUGAUUAGGGACUUUGUUGAGUAUGAUAUAAAUGCAAAAAGACAAGAACUGCCUUUCUCAUAGAGUCAUAUAUCAGUGUGACUACUAGAUGCUACACGUACAUUCCAGACUAGUCUUAGUGAGCCGAGGAAUGAAACACAUGACUGAAUUUAAUGAACUGAGAAAUGUAGACACAUGAAUAAGACACUUAAGCACCAAACUUCUUAUUCAUUUGGGAUAGUAAUAAUGGUUGAAACAGAGUUACAUGACUUGUAAUGUGAAUGUAGCCAAAAAGAGUAUAGCAUUACCUGAAAAAAACCAAAUCCUUUGCAGGCCAUUUCAAUCUCAUGGAUUACACAGGGUCUAAGCAAAGGAUCGUGUAAGAGGGAGAGAUCAAUGAAAGGAAGUGUGAUGGUAUCAGUGCCACUGCUUGAACCGAGCAUUGGUCGUUGUGAAGGUGGAAGAAUGUAACGGGUAGGCACGCGAAGGACACCUGACUCGGUAAGUGCCAUGGCACUAGUAAAGCAAUCAUCAAGUACACUCUUAUUUGUUUCCUCCAUUGGUUUCUCAAGAAUCUGUUUUGGUACUUGAGGUUAUGUGUGUUGAUCCCACCGUGUACUAAGUUAUAGUAAGCAAGCAUGCCAAACCCAUUUUUAUAUAGCCAUGAAGAUUAGAUAACCUGGUCUUAAAAAAAGGUCAGCAUUACUACUUUUCUCUUUGAAUACGGUUUUGGAAACUACCUGCUUUGUGUUCAUAUACAUAUGCUAUAAAUGAAUGGUUAGAUCACUAGUCCAAAUAAAGAAUCCCCAUUUGCUUAUGGAUAGGCCACGUUGGAUUGAAAGGUAUCUGUGAAGGGUGGAUGACUAGUUGCAUGUUUUGCUUUUGGGAUAUUUUAUGAAGAAAAAAGAGUCAUCAUCAUAUGCUAUUGAUAACACUAUUCUAUG